rnacentral:rRNA from 1 species
GAUGAACGCUAGCGAUAGGCUUAACACAUGCAAGUCGAGGGGCAGCAUGGUCUUAGCUUGCUAAGACUGAUGGCGACCGGCGCACGGGUGCGUAACGCGUAUGCAACUUGCCUCACAGAGGGGGAUAACCCGUCGAAAGACGGACUAAUACCGCGUACACUCCAUCUUGGGCAUCCAAGGUAGAGGAAAUGAAAUUCGCUGUGGGAUAGGCAUGCGUCCCAUUAGCUAGUUGGUGAGGUAACGGCUCACCAAGGCGACGAUGGGUAGGGGAACUGAGAGGUUGAACCCCCACACUGGUACUGAGACACGGACCAGACUCCUACGGGAGGCAGCAGUGAGGAAUAUUGGUCAAUGGGCGAGAGCCUGAACCAGCCAAGUCGCGUGAAGGAUGACUGUCUUAUGGAUUGUAAACUUCUUUUAUACGGGAAUAACAAGAGUCACGUGUGACUCCCUGCAUGUACCGUAUGAAUAAGCAUCGGCUAACUCCGUG